GCUUGCUUAACACAAUGGAAAUAAAUGCAGCAAGCAGAUGCAUUAAAUUUUAAAAGCUGUAAUGUUUAUCUGUGGUCUAUAAAGUGCAACCAUGGUCUUUUUAAUCUGCUUAUGUUAGUUACCUGGUCAGUUUGGUUUGGCCAUGAAGGAAGAAAAAAAAAAACAACUCAAAGAUGAAUAAUUAUGUUGGAAAAGCAUAUAGUUACAAAGAAAAAGUCACCUAUAUGUCAGAGAAAAAUGUGUCUAUGUUGUAGGCAGUAUAUAAAAUGGAUGUGGAUGAGAUAACUAAGGGAUUGUGUAUAGAGAAAAAUGGGAAUUGAGAUUACACCUGGACAAUUUAUGAUUCAACAUUUUGUGGUUGGGAAAAGUAGAAAAAGCUAGCAAAAGAGAAUCAGAAGUAGGAAGAGGAAAACUAGGAGGGUGUGAUAUUUCAAUGCAAUACUAUACUUCGGGGGCUUUUCUUGCUGUACAUAAUAAAACUGGAUACCUCUCUCUCUC